GGAAAAGUCUGUUUUUUUUGAAAUACCUUUUUUUUUCUAUUUAUUCCUUUAAUUAUUAUACAUUAGAAAGAAAUGACAAGGAUUGCAUCCUAGUUUUAAAAUGCUGAACUUUUAAAAAGGCAAUUUUAUUUUUAAGACUUUAAAUAACUCUUAUUAGUAAUUGGAUUUGUGGCAGAUUCCAAGAGGGUGGUUUUGGAAAGCACAGUGGCUUCCGGUGGCUUCAGACCUUGGUUUGGAAUUGCAGGCCUACCGCACACCGACUCUGGAGAGUGACUUGGAGCCUCCAAAUUCCAAGCUUCCUGUGUGCGAGUGAGGCUAGCAAACCACAUUGAGUAGGACAGCCUGAGGGUUAAGUUACACCAUGGAUGAAAAGCUGAUGCAUGGUUCUAACUUGCCCGGGCUUGAUAUUCAAAAAAUGUCUAUUCCUUUUCCAUUUUCUCUCUUUUCCAAAAAUCCUCUUGCUCUGUUUCUGUUAAGACCCUUUUGCAACACUCUGUUUUAACAUGGUGCUUAAUAUAUUGUCAGAAACCACAUUUUCCAGUGCAUAUGGUGCAGUUUUUAAUUUCUAAUUUAGCUUU
rnacentral:lncRNA from 1 species